AUCCUACCCCAUCCAACCCCAUCCUACCCCAUCCUACCCCAUCCAACCGUAUCCAACCCCAUCCAACCCCAUCCUACCCCAUCCAACCCCGACCAAGGAAGAGGAAAUAUGACUACAUGCAAAAAGAGUGUCCAGUGCAUCCGGGGAAACGAUUUUCCCUAUUCUCAAGAUUCUUGCCAAUAGAACUUCAAAGGAGUGGCAAGACAUGGGACGAUGACUGGAUCAAGGCCGAGGACCGGGUUUCUCCAGUUUAACCUACUUUAUGCACAAAUGUAUUCCUCACUCUCCCUUCACAUGUAUCACUGUCAACCAUAAAUGGUUGGCCAAAUUCACCAUGAUUUACCAUUGAAACAUUCAUGGAGAAUCAGCAUGCCAACCAUUUGAUCUCAAUCAGUUUCAUGAGAAUAUGCAUUUAGAUAUUCUUCAUAUAAAGUGAGCUACAAACAUAUUGCAACAGUGACACAUUUGUUGUUGUUUUGGAUCUGUACUCCAGAACUUUGUAUUUGAAAUUAUACAAUGACUAUGAGGUUAAAGUGCAGACUAUCGGCUUUAAUUUGGGUGUAUUUUCAUCCAUAUCUGGUGAACCGUUUAGAAAUUACAGCACAUUUUGUACAUAGCCCCCCCAUUUUGGGGGACCAAAGGUAUUGUGAUAAAUUCACUUAUGUGUAUUAAAGUAGUCAGAAGUUGAGUAUUUUUGUCUUUUAUGUUUGUAUUGAUUCAUUUGACUAUGUUAUUAAAUAUAUAC